UACCAGACUCCUACGGGAGGCAGCAGUGGGGAAUAUUGCACAAUGGGGGAAACCCUGAUGCAGCGACGCCGCGUGGAGGAAGAAGGUCUUCGGAUUGUAAACUCCUGUCCUUGGGGACGAUAAUGACGGUACCCAAGGAGGAAGCACCGGCUAACUACGUGCCAGCAGCCGCGGUAAUACGUAGGUGGCAAGCGUUGUCCGGAUUUACUGGGUGUAAAGGGCGUGCAGCCGGGCUGACAAGUCAGAUGUGAAAUCCCGCGGCUCAACCGCGGAACUGCAUUUGAAACUGUCAGUCUUGAGUACCGGAGAGGUCAUCGGAAUUCCUUGUGUAGCGGUGAAAUGCGUAGAUAUAAGGAAGAACACCAGUGGCGAAGGCGGAUGACUGGACGGCAACUGACGGUGAGGCGCGAAAGCGUGGGGAGCAAACAGGAUUAGAUACCCCGGUAAA
rnacentral:rRNA from 1 species